AGUUGUGGAGGGUGAAUUGUGGAGGUGUUGUUGUCCACGACUCCACGUGCCAAAAACAAUCAUUUAAUCCAUGCAAAUGCUAUGCAUCCAUCCUCAAAUAAAUCAAACUUCAGACUUUGGAGUAAAUGAGCAUCUAAUAAGAGACGGAACUCUCUCUUCCUUUCUCUCUCUGACACAACCUCAAACAAAUCAAAGUUUCGACUUUCAAGUGUCGUUUAACCGAGCAAACUACGCAAACGACGUCCCGUUUCCUCAGAAGAAACUCAGACUCAUAACUAUCGAUCGGCGAUGUUUUAAAGACAGACACCUUCGACGACUGGAUAGGAGGACACGACGGGGACCCAUACUAGCUACACGUUAUAUGAUUUAAUUUUGACAAUUCAUUCCUACCAGUCCACGUUUUUAUUGGAUACUUCCAUCUGUUUUGUUUUCA